rnacentral:tRNA from 1 species
GCUGUAGCUCAGUGGCAGAGCGCUUGCCUAGCAUGUGUGAGGCACUGGGUUCGAUCCUUAGCACUGCA